GACGGACUGUAUUUGGCAGACUGAGGAUUGUAGCUUGGGGAUGUAGGACUAUAGGUUGGUGAAGUUGGGCUAUAACUUGGUGAAGUUGGACUAUAACCAGGAGAAGUGGGGCUAUAGGCUGGUGAAGUGGGGCUGUACGAUGGAGAAGUAGGGCUGUAUGACGGUGAGGUAGGGCUGUACGAAGGUGAUGUUGGGCUGUAGGAAGGAGAGGUUGGGCUGUACGAUGGUGAGGUGGGGCUGUAUGCAGGUGAGGUGGGGCUAUAUGCAGGUGAGGUGGGGCUAUAUGCCGGUGAGGUGGGGCUAUAGCUUGGUGAAGUUGGACUGUAACUGGGAGAAGUGGGGCUGUAACUUGGAGAGGUCGGGCUGUAGCUUGGGGAUGUUGGGCUGUAACUUGGGGAGGUUGGGCUAUAGCUUGGUGAAGUAGGUGAGUACGAUGGACUGGUAGGAGAAUAGGCAGGACUGGUUGGACUAUAACCAG
rnacentral:lncRNA from 1 species